GGAGGGUUAGCCUAACUGGUAAGGCAGCGGAUUUGAAAUCCGCCGUCCCUCACAGGACAUGGGGGUUCGAGUCCCUCACCCUCCG
rnacentral:tRNA from 1 species